UACGAAGGGUGCAAGCGUUAUUCGGAAUGAUUGGGCGUAAAGGGUGCGCAGGCGGCAUGUUAAGUCAACUGUUAAAGUCUCCAGCCUAACUGGGGGUAUGCAGUAGAUACUGGCAAGCUAGAGUAUGGAAGAGAGAAGUGGAAUUCUCGGAGUAGCGGUAAAAUGCGUAGAUCUCGAGAGGAACACCGAUGGCGAAGGCAGCUUCUUGGUCCAUUACUGACGCUCAUGCACGAAAGCGUGGGGAGCAAACAGG
rnacentral:rRNA from 1 species